GACGGAGGGGGCUAGCGUUGUUCGGAUUUACUGGGCGUAAAGGGCGCGUAGGCUGCCAUGUGUGUCAGGGGUGAAAUCCCAAGGCUUAACCUUGGAACUGCUUCUGAAACUGCAUGGCUAGAGGAAUAGAGAGGCGAGUGGAAUUCCGAGUGUAGCAGUGAAAUGCGCAGAUAUUCGGAGGAACAUCAGUGGCGAAGGCGACUCGCUGGCUAUUAUCUGACGCUGAGGCGCGAAAGCGUGGGGAGCAAACAGG
rnacentral:rRNA from 1 species